rnacentral:rRNA from 1 species
GAUGAACGCUGGCGGCGUGCCUAAUACAUGCAAGUCGAGCGAACAUACGAGGAGCUUGCUCCUCUGACGUUAGCGGCGGACGGGUGAGUAACACGUGGAUAACCUACCUAUAAGACUGGGAUAACGUCGGGAAACCGGAGCUAAUAGCGGAUAAUAUAUCAAACCGCAUUGUUCAAUAGUGAAAGAGGGUUUUGCUGUCACUUAUAGAUGGAUCCGCGCCGCAUUAGCUAGUUGGUAAGGUAACGGCUUACCAAGGCAACGAUGCGUAGCCGACCUGAGAGGGUGAUCGGCCACACUGGAACUGAGACACGGUCCAGACUCCUACGGGAGGCAGCAGUAGGGAAUCUUCCGCAAUGGGCGAAAGCCUGACGGAGCAACGCCGCGUGAGUGAUGAAGGUCUUCGGAUCGUAAAACUCUGUUAUUAGGGAAGAACAAAUGUGUAAGUAACUAUGCGCGUCUUGACGGUACCUAAUCAGAAAGCCACGGCUAACUACGUG